CAAACACGUAAACAACUUUAUUGCGUUUUUCCUUGCUAGUUCUACCUUGGCCAGAUUCGUGAAAUAUUACAUUACAAUACUUUACGCAUGCAAUUGGGAUAAGGUUGCAGAGGAACAUUAAAAAAAAAAAGCCGGCUGUCCUUCAAAUGGUUCGAAAGGGAAGAUUUAUUCAUUCACUGAAGAAACGAGUCAAAUUACUCAAAAGUCAAUUGGGAAAAACAACGCCAACCUACAGAAAGAAAAAGGCCAGUUUGCAUAUCUUUCAUAAUCGAAG